GACGAACGCUGGCGGCGUGCUUAACACAUGCAAGUCGAACGGUAAGGCCCUUCGGGGUACACGAGUGGCGAACGGGUGAGUAACACGUGGGUGAUCUGCCCUGCACUUCGGGAUAAGCCUGGGAAACUGGGUCUAAUACCGGAUAGGACCCUGGGAUGCAUGUCCUGGGGUGGAAAGCUUUUGCGGUGUGGGAUGGGCCCGCGGCCUAUCAGCUUGUUGGUGGGGUGAUGGCCUACCAAGGCGACGACGGGUAGCCGGCCUGAGAGGGUGACCGGGCACACUGGGACUGAGAUACGGCCCAGACUCCUACGGGAGGCAGCAGUGGGGAAUAUUGCACAAUGGGCGCAAGCCUGAUGCAGCGACGCCGCGUGAGGGAUGACGGCCUUCGGGUUGUAAACCUCUUUCAGCUAUGACGAAGCGCAAGUGACGGUAGAAGCAGAAGAAGGACCGGCCAACUACGUGCCAGCCGCCGCCGUAA
rnacentral:rRNA from 1 species